UUCAUCUACACUCAGACCACGCUCAGACCAGUCUCAGACCAGAGAGGGUGUACAACAGUUUCUUUCUCUGAGACUCCACAAUUAUUGACCAGCAAUGUACUACCAGCAGCACAAUAUGGUGAUACGCAACUUU